rnacentral:tRNA from 1 species
UUAAUUGAAACCAAAAGUUAGAGGUAUAUCACUGUUAAUGAUACAAAUGGAUUGCUCCCAAUUAAA